GGUGGUUCUCAGGUGAAGCACCCCAGAAUUGAGCUUCCUUUUUUCUGGUUCCAGGUGCAUCACCCGAGAACUGCA
rfam:Myotis davidii contig317002, whole genome shotgun sequence.